rnacentral:rRNA from 1 species
AAUCCAUAGGUUAAUGAGGCGAACCGGGGGAACUGAAACAUCUAAGUACCCCGAGGAAAAGAAAUCAACCGAGAUUCCCCCAGUAGCGGCGAGCGAACGGGGAGGAGCCCAGAGCCUGAAUCAGCAUGUGUGUUAGUGGAAGCGUCUGGAAAGGCGCGCGAUACAGGGUGACAGCCCCGUACACAAAAGCGCAUGUGCUGUGAGCUCGAUGAGUAGGGCGGGACACGUGGUAUCCUGUCUGAAUAUGGGGGGACCAUCCUCCAAGGCUAAAUACUCCUGACUGACCGAUAGUGAACCAGUACCGUGAGGGAAAGGCGAAAAGAACCCCGGCGAGGGGAGUGAAAAAGAACCUGAAACCGUGUACGUACAAGCAGUGGGAGCACAGGUUUACCUGUGUGACUGCGUACCUUUUGUAUAAUGGGUCAGCGACUUAUAUUCUGUAGCAAGGUUAACCGAAUAGGGGAGCCGCAGGGAAACCGAGUCUUAAUUGGGCGUUAAGUUGCAGGGUAUAGACCCGAAACCCGGUGAUCUAGCCAUGGGCAGGUUGAAGGUUGGGUAACACUAACUGGAGGACCGAACCGACUAAUGUUGAAAAAUUAGCGGAUGACCUGUGGCUGGGGGUGAAAGGCCAAUCAAACCGGGAGAUAGCUGGUUCUCCCCGAAAGCUAUUUAGGUAGCGCCUCGUGAAUUCAUCUCCGGGGGUAGAGCACUGUUUCGGCUAGGGGGCCAUCCCGGCUUACCAACCCGAUGCAAACUGCGAAUACCGGAGAAUGUUAUCACGGGAGACACACGGCGGGUGCUAACGUCCGUCGUGAAGAGGGAAACAACCCAGACCGCCAGCUAAGGUCCCAAAGUCAUGGUUAAGUGGGAAACGAUGUGGGAAGGCCCAGACAGCCAGGAUGUUGGCUUAGAAGCAGCCAUCAUUUAAAGAAAGCGUAAUAGCUCACUGGUCGAGUCGGCCUGCGCGGAAGAUGUAACGGGGCUAAACCAUGCACCGAAGCUGCGGCAGCGACGCUGAUGCGUUGUUGGGUAGGGGAGCGUUCUGUAAGCCUGUGAAGGUGUGUCGUGAGGCAUGCUGGAGGUAUCAGAAGUGCGAAUGCUGACAUAAGUAACGAUAAAGCGGGUGAAAAGCCCGCUCGCCGGAAGACCAAGGGUUCCUGUCCAACGUUAAUCGGGGCAGGGUGAGUCGACCCCUAAGGCGAGGCCGAAAGGCGUAGUCGAUGGGAAACGGGUUAAUAUUCCCGUACUUGGUGUUACUGCGAAGGGGGGACGGAGAAGGCUAUGUUGGCCGGGCGACGGUUGUCCCGGUUUAAGCGUGUAGGUGUGUGUUCCAGGUAAAUCCGGUUCACUUUAACACUGAGGCGUGAUGACGAGGCACUACGGUGCUGAAGCAACAAAUGCCCUGCUUCCAGGAAAAGCCUCUAAGCAUCAGGUAACAUCAAAUCGUACCCCAAACCGACACAGGUGGUCAGGUAGAGAAUACCAAGGCGCUUGAGAGAACUCGGGUGAAGGAACUAGGCAAAAUGGUGCCGUAACUUCGGGAGAAGGCACGCUGACACGUAGGUGAAGUGAUUUACUCACGGAGCUGAAGUCAGUCGAAGAUACCAGCUGGCUGCAACUGUUUAUUAAAAACACAGCACUGUGCAAACACGAAAGUGGACGUAUACGGUGUGACGCCUGCCCGGUGCCGGAAGGUUAAUUGAUGGGGUCAGCGCAAGCGAAGCUCCUGAUCGAAGCCCCGGUAAACGGCGGCCGUAACUAUAACGGUCCUAAGGUAGCGAAAUUCCUUGUCGGGUAAGUUCCGACCUGCACGAAUGGCGUAAUGAUGGCCAGGCUGUCUCCACCCGAGACUCAGUGAAAUUGAACUCGCUGUGAAGAUGCAGUGUACCCGCGGCAAGACGGAAAGACCCCGUGAACCUUUACUAUAGCUUGACACUGAACAUUGAGCCUUGAUGUGUAGGAUAGGUGGGAGGCUUUGAAGUGUGGACGCCAGUCUGCAUGGAGCCGACCUUGAAAUACCACCCUUUAAUGUUUGAUGUUCUAACGUGGACCCGUAAUCCGGGUUGCGGACAGUGUCUGGUGGGUAGUUUGACUGGGGCGGUCUCCUCCUAAAGAGUAACGGAGGAGCACGAAGGUUGGCUAAUCCUGGUCGGACAUCAGGAGGUUAGUGCAAUGGCAUAAGCCAGCUUGACUGCGAGCGUGACGGCGCGAGCAGGUGCGAAAGCAGGUCAUAGUGAUCCGGUGGUUCUGAAUGGAAGGGCCAUCGCUCAACGGAUAAAAGGUACUCCGGGGAUAACAGGCUGAUACCGCCCAAGAGUUCAUAUCGACGGCGGUGUUUGGCACCUCGAUGUCGGCUCAUCACAUCCUGGGGCUGAAGUAGGUCCCAAGGGUAUGGCUGUUCGCCAUUUAAAGUGGUACGCGAGCUGGGUUUAGAACGUCGUGAGACAGUUCGGUCCCUAUCUGCCGUGGGCGCUGGAGAACUGAGGGGGGCUGCUCCUAGUACGAGAGGACCGGAGUGGACGCAUCACUGGUGUUCGGGUUGUCAUGCCAAUGGCACUGCCCGGUAGCUAAAUGCGGAAGAGAUAAGUGCUGAAAGCAUCUAAGCACGAAACUUGCCCCGAGAUGAGUUCUCCCUGAGACUUUAAGUCUCCUGAAGGAACGUUGAAGACGACGACGUUGAUAGGCCGGGUGUGUAAGCGCAGCGAUGCGUUGAGCUAACCGGUACUAAUGAACCGUGAGGCUUAACCUUACA